CUACGGGUCGCAGCAGCUGAGGAUCUUUUACAAUGCACGAAAGUGUGAUAAAGCGAGCCAGAGUGUUGUUCUUAGAACAACUUUUGUCUGAUGCAAAAAGUCAGACGAAUAAGGACUGGGUAAGACCGGUGCCAGCCGCCGCGGUAAUACCGGCGGUCCAAGUUGCAUCCAUUUUUAUUGGGUCUAAAACAUCCGUAGCUUUCUUUGUAAGUUUCUUGUGAAAUCUUAUGUCUCAAACAUGAGGCUUGCAAGAAAUACUGCAUAGCUAGAGACCGGAAGACGUAAGGAGUAUGAUUGAGGUAGCGGUAAAAUGUGUUAAUCUUAAUCAGACUAACAACGGCGAAGGCACCUUACGAGUACGGAUCUGACAGUGAGGGAUGAAGGCUAGGGGCGCAAAACGGAUUAGAUACCCUGGUAGUC
rnacentral:rRNA from 1 species